UGUAUGUGCAAGCAUGCCAGUGUGUGUUUGUGUUAGUGUGAGUGUUUUGUGCACGCUUGUGCCUGUGUCUGUGUGAGAGAGAGUGUGUGUGUGUGAGCAUGUGUCUGUCUGUGUGUGAGAGAGUGUGUGUAUGAGAGAGAGAGUGUGUGUGUGUGUGUUUGUGUUUCCUUCUUCCUUUGCUAACAAUGCAGCUCAGGAAAUGUCAGGAUAAAGACUGCCAGGGUGUGUAUCUCAGUUCAGUUUGUGUUACUAGAGGGUCUAUAGCACAGUCCUCAUGAGCCCCAGGCAAGCCUAAUUGCAUAUUCUGGACCUUACCGUGUUCUGGACCUAAGAGAGGUAGUGGCCGUCCUAUUGAAGCUCUGCUAUGUCCUUCUGGCUGCCUGAGGAGUUUGAGGGGAUCCAUUCACACACCUUUCGGGUGAAGACAUUCAAGAAGAGCAAGCACUGUGGCGUGUGCAAACAGACCGUCAGCCAGGAGGGGCUAAUUUGCAAAGUGUGCCGGCUGACUUGCCACAAGACAUGUGAAGUGAAGGUAAGAGCAGCAUCUUUUCUCAGGGCUCUUAUGUUGCCGAAUGGGCAUGUCUAAGCAAUGGGAACGCAGUCUUUUUUAGGCAGCUACACUUUUUACAUGUAGGUUGUUAUGAACUGUCAUUACAUCUUAUGUCAUCACGUCACAUCUCAAGUGCACAAGAGUCAAGUACAGUGUAGCUCUACCAAGUCAUCCUCUGUUGACGCAACAGGAGGCUGCUGAGGGGAGGAGGGCUCAUAAUAAUGGCCGGAACGGAGAGCGAAUGGAAUGGCAUCAAAACACAUGGAAACCAUGGAAACCAUGUGUUUUACUGU
rnacentral:lncRNA from 1 species